rnacentral:rRNA from 1 species
GAGGUCCCAAGCGUUGUUCGGAUUCACUGGGCGUAAAGGGUGCGUAGGCGGUCGGGUAAGUCUGACGUGAAAUCUUCAAGCUCAACUUGGAAACUGCGUCGGAUACUAUUCGGCUAGAGGAAUGGAGGGGAGACUGGAAUACUUGGUGUAGCAGUGAAAUGCGUAGAUAUCAAGUGGAACACCAGUGGCGAAGGCGAGUCUCUGGACAUUUCCUGACGCUGAGGCACGAAAGCCAGGGGAGCAAACGGGAUUAGAUACCCCGGUAGUCCUGGCCCUAAACGGUGCACGUUUGCUGUAAGAGGAAUCGACCCCUUUUGUGGCGAAGCUAACGCGUUAAACGUGCCGCCUGGGAAGUACGGCCGCAAGGUUA